rnacentral:rRNA from 1 species
AACGCGAAGAACCUUACCAGGCCUUGACAUGGCUAGUAUGGAUCGCAGAGAUGCUUUCCUUCAGUUUGGCUGGCUAGCACACAGGUGCUGCAUGGCUGUCGUCAGCUCGUGUCGUGAGAUGUUGGGUUAAGUCCCGCAACGAGCGCAACCCUCGUCCUUAGUUGCCAGCACAUUAUGGUGGGAACUCUAAGGAAACUGCCGGUGAUAAGCCGGAGGAAGGUGGGGAUGACGUCAAGUCUUCAUGGCCCUUACGGCCUGGGCUACACACGUGCUACAAUGGCGGUGACAGUGGGCUGCUAACGCGCGAGCGUCAGCGAAUCCCCAAAAACCGUCCAAGUUCAGAUUGCAGUCUGCAACUCGACUGCAUGAAGCUGGAAUCGCUAGUAAUCGUAGAUCAGCACGCUACGGUGAAUACGUUCCCGGGCCUUGUACACACCGCGUGUC